AGGUGACUGAGAAAUGGUGGUUAGGAGAGUGAAAACUGAAAUAUGACACUGACAUGUAGUACGUCUGUGGCCUAAUUGACAACCCUGAAAAUGUCUUCGUAGCAAUACAAGUGAGUUGAUUGCCAGGUGACAAUGGUUCUUCAGGACGUUAUCCAAAUUCUUUGUCCAGAAGCGGAAAAUUGUGGUGAUUGUCUGACCAGAGAAUUGGCCUCCCAUAUGACUUAUACCAGUUCCCAGAAGCUCACUUAAUACACACGCUUGCUGCAGUGACUACUUCCCUAAAGAGCCAUGUACCAGCGUGCGACAGCCCUCUCAGUGAAGAGCCUCUUCCUGAUGUCUUGCCUAAACCUCCCCUGCCUACCAGCUUGACACCAUUCCUGCAGGUUUUCUUAACAGAUAGAAUUUAUUGAGAUAACUUUGUAUGCUACAUCUUCAAUAGUCCAUUAAAAAGGAAAAAAUAGAAGAGAGGCCUGCAAGCUAUAAGCUCCUGGUAAGGUCCCUUUCUACCAGCUCAGUUAUAUCAUCUUGUUUUAGAAAAGAUCUUUAUAAUGUAUAAAUAAACAACAAAUAUAUGUCAUUGUUGCUUUUCCCUCAAACUGCAUUUAGUUUUUAGUGCUUCUAAUGCUAUAAAAUAUCUCUAUAAAUUUUGUGUGCAAAGGCUAUAUUGAGUUAUAUUUAAAUUAGGGUGCAGAGACAACAUGUUGAAAGACAA